rnacentral:rRNA from 1 species
AGAUUGAACGCUGGCGGCAUGCUUUACACAUGCAAGUCGAGCGGCAGCGCGGGGGCAACCCUGGCGGCGAGCGGCGAACGGGUGAGUAAUACAUCGGAACGUGUCCCGUAGUGGGGGAUAGCCCGGCGAAAGCCGGAUUAAUACCGCAUAUGCUCUACGGAGGAAAGUGGGGGACUCGCAAGGGCCUCACGCUAUGGGAGCGGCCGAUGUCCGAUUAGCUUGUUGGUGGGGUAACGGCCUACCAAGGCGACGACGGGUA